UGCAGUGUGUGUAUAUACACAACAUCAAGAGCAGGAAAAUGGACUCAUUAGGGAGGCAGGCAGUCAUUACCACUCACACUGUACUUCCAGGGAGACAGCGACUAUGAGGAGACAAACUGAGGACUGGGGAACAAGCAGCAUAAGAAAGAAGUGUUGAGAACUGCUCUUAACCCUUUUGGAGGUCGAAGUCAAAAGGAAACUAGAGGGCUUGACGCAUCCUUUACAUCCUGCAUUUACUCUGACCACAGUCCCUCCCUGUUCUCACAAGUGGAGCUCAGCCCUGCUUCCCUUCCUGUUGAUUCACAGUCAGCUACAUGUUUUGCAAGUCUGGAAGUCUAAAGACAUAUAUGUGUAUGUGUAUAAAAUAUAUGUAUAUAAAAAUAAUGUUGUUUAAAUAUUUACAUACAAAGCCAAAGGAUUGGCUUCCUUCCCAGAAUUACUGGAACUACCUUCCCCAGGAACAUUUGGACUUGAGAAAUCUCUACAGCAACACAUUUUUACUGAAACUAAACAACUUCUGAAACUGCCUGAAGUUACAUUGUAGAUGCUGAAAUCACUGCACCUUAAAAACAAAAAGAUUAAGCCACACUGCAUUCCUCAGUGGUUGGCAGUUUUCCUCAACUUUGCGAGAGAGAGAGAGAUUUUGUUGGAAUGAAACCUUGCUCUGCGUACAGCCUGCUUGAGAAGCAGCACUGAAAGAUUACUCACAAUCAGCUUGUGGCCUUUCUCCAGAGGAGUCUUUCCUUGUCUCUUGUUGCAGAAGAAAUUGGCACGAUGCCUUCUCCCCUACCCUGUGGGCAAAAAGAUGAGAUUUGUUGCAGCGGCUGCAAAACAUGAUAUGACAAUACCAGCUCUCAAGGAGACAUAUUUGAGUUGACCUAUCAUGCCUAUGGUGUCUCCAUAUUUCUUUCCCUGCUCCUUUGCCUUUCAUUAUAAUGUGUCCCAAAUCUGUAAUUUACAACAUGCUGCUCCGGUUUUGCUCUGAUAUAUUUGCUACAAAUAAGUAGGAGCUUAUGGAUGUCUAUAGCUGCCUGUGGCGGUGUCAGGCCUGCGAGAUGAGGGGAGCAUAGGCACCCACAGAAUGCAACAUGGCUUAUGCCUAAUGUGGCAUUUAUCUGACUCAGAAAGGCAAUUGAUUAGAGGCCCAUCGGACCUUUGGCAUCAUGUAUUAUGUAUUUAUCCGGCAGGGGCAGUUUAUAACAGCCUCUGACAAAUCCUAUUACUUUUGUUGCAGGACUUCAUAAUAUCAAUAAAAAGCAUUAAUGAUACUCAGGGAGGGGAAGUGUUAACACUGCUUGUGUUAAGGCUUCUCACAGCAGUGGCAAAACCAUUUAUGUCUGUGGCAGACACCAUGUGCCUUCAACAUUUGCACAAUGCACCAGUUUAGUGUUGUUCUACCUCUGCAGGGCAAGGCAGUUAGGUGGUAGCAGCAAGCUGGCUUUAUGAUAGGUAGGCAUGUGGAAACUUGAAGCUGAAAUACCUCUUCGACAGUGCUUUGCUGUGUGACAAUGCAUUUGUGGCUUUCCAUCUGUCUGCCUUUGUUUUUUGACAUGUGAGAUUAGAAUCCCAUGUUCACUUGCUUCUUUAAGUCAGGCUUAUUCCACGGCCAAGAAGGGCUUCUUGAUGCUCCUCCAUUCCUAAAUUAGCAAGCUCUGUAGGAGACCUACUAUAUUUCAGGCAUGUCUAGUCCUGUACUGGCUCUCCCCUUUUCUUCUGGAAGGCAGGUCCUUUGGGCCGUUGAUAGUCUGGGUUCUUUUUGGUAACAGAAAAAAAGUAAAUGGGACAUUUUCGCCUUAGAAGCUCUUAAUGUACCUGUACAUGUACAAGCAUGUUUCUGAUCUAGAUAACUGAUUUGUUCUGCCCUCUGUCUCAGUGUCCAGCACUGGGAUCUCUUUUCAUAUCCCUUCCCACAGCUUGCUGAUGAUUCAGUCAUCAUCCUUCUCCCAGAUGUUUCACACAUGUCUGCUUAAUUAUAUGGCAUCAGGGUUUUGAAGGUGGAAGGAUUUCAUAGAUCUCUCCCCCAGACUAUAUUCCCACUGAAGAAGAAUACAGUUAAUCUCUGCUCCCCUUGAAUAUCCUCAGGACUUUGAGAGACACUGGGAUUCUUUGUCAAAACCAUUAUUUUCAUGGAAGAAGUCUUCCAACCAGCCUGUAGCGGUAUUGACAUUACUGAGGUGCUUUACAGUAGGAGAGAUAGCUACACUAGGAUAAAUAGCUAUAGCAGGACACUUCUUACAAUUCUUUUACUUCCAGAGAACUACUUGUUCAGAUGGAACCCAUACAAUAUUGAAAAAUUACCUGCAAUUAGCGUUGGUAAGUGCAAAUCAGUAGCAGACCAAAGUUAUCCAGAUACAAGGAAGUUGCAGGACAUGUUAACCUAAUUCCGUGGAUAUCUGUCCAUCUUGUUUAAAUAGAUUUCUGGUGUAACCAGAUUGUACUGAGCUCCAGCAUCAUUCCUAUCAGACUUAGCACUGAUGCUAAUUCUUGGUAGUUGACAUGCUAGUUUAAAAACGGUUAAAAAAAAAAAAGAGAGAAAGAAAAAAGAAAAUAAGGAAAAAAGUGCAGAAAAGUACCAUUUAUUCCCCAACUUCAUGAAGAUGUAUUUGGUCAAGUAAUGAUGACCCAAGGGAAGCUGAGAGGCAUCUUACUGAUCUCAUCAUAGUUAUGAGAACCAUCCAUCAUAUGGUCAGUGAUUUGUAUGUCAAAAGACACCCGGCAGUAUUCCAGCCUACCAGUAGACAGCUUCUGAGAAUCCUUAUUGACUUUAUCAGACAUGAUGAUGCUCUUUGAUAUCUAUGUAUAUGUCCCUGCUUUGGUACUUGUUCCCCACCAAACUGUCGUCUGUUACCACUCUGAACCAUUAUCAUGAAAUAGCAACUCAUUAGCCCCCUCUGAAUCCCUUAGUCUGGUUCUGUGCUUAGUGUUGUUUUGCGAAUGAGGAACAACAACAGUGAUUGCUACAUCAGGAACAGGGAGAAGGCAUCUUUUCUCAGGUUUCUUAAGAAGCUCUCCCUUACUAGAGAAGAGGAUAACCUCCAGGUCAAGCUUAUUCAUUAAUCAGAAAUGAACAUUUUCAAAAUGCCAAUAAAGUCUACUUCAAUAAGCCUUACGUUUACAACAGCUUUCAAGAGUUAGCAUUUUUCAAGACUUAUCAUAAUUAAUGUAAUAAAUAGACACGCAAAUUAUCCAGAAGAAUCGGUUGGUCUCCUUCUGAAAAUAAGGAGGUUCAGGAAGCGAAUGGUCACCUAAACAGUAAUCUGAGACCGGAAAGGAAUAUUUUUUCCCCAGCUAUUAUAUGUCUCAUGAAGGAAGGGAAUGUUCCAAAAAAGAAAACAACAUGGGCGGAGGCAAAUGAGAGGAAUGGUGAAACAGCCUCAAAAUGACAGCAGAACUGAAAUUCUACUCUGGUAUAUUUAUAGAAAUGAAACCAUAUAACUGAGAGUACACCUUGGGAUGAAUGUUCUUGAGCAGUGACACAAUUUUAAGCUUUAUUCUUUAUCUGAAGAUGUAGCCAUCAAAUGAACUUAAGCAAUAGAUGUGCAUGGGAAAAAAAACCUCAUUAUUUAAAACAAAUCAGUCAAAG